CUCUCUUCUUUCUUUUCCUUUUUUUCCCCUGUCGAAUCUUUCGUCUAUAAGUAAAGAUAUUUGCAUCGGAUCACGAUGUAAACCGAUCACGAUGUCUUCCUUCUCGUUAAAGAUCCGAGCAAUUUCUAUUUGCUAGCGUCUCGUCGUUUCGUUUUUUAGCGCGUUGCACUGUGAUGAAAGCGAGCGAUGGAGCGUGCAACGCGUUUUCCCUGGUUUUGCUUUGGUUCUCGAUGGAAUAAAAGUUGCAGCGAGAGGAUGGACGCGAGAGAGCGAGGAUAAUAGUAGGCCGUUGACGAAGCGGUUUGGGGAUAGGAAGAAGCGAAGGAUGGCGGAAGGAACGUUUAGGUUGAUAGGAAUGGGGAAGAGAGGGGGUUGAAAAACGCAGGGUAAACGUAGAGUGGGGGAGAUCCGGAGCUUUUAAAAAACCGAAUAUGAGCGAAGUGUCGGGCGAUGAAAGGAUGGAUGCAACGCUUUGAAGCUCGAUAUCCGUACUAUCCCUCUGCUACCUAUCUCUCUCUUCCUCUCUCUUUUUCUCUCUUUCUCUCAAACUCAUGUUCGCUUCACGCUUCUCUUUCCACACGUUCGAGUUAGAGGCAACGGCAUAAAGAGAGAGAGAGAGAGAGAGAGAGAGAGAGAGAGAGAGAGAGAAAGUCACGAUUAACGUAUUGCUUCGCGUAUUCGUUCGGUGGCAGCACACUUUUCCUUGAGAAUUUCGCUUCGCAAGGCCUCUGAAGUUUCCUUAGGCACGAGAUUAAUCGAGAUUAAUCACGCCGAUGGUACACGCGUGUCUGUGUUUAUGUUCGCGCUUGAAGCCUGCCCGAUUACACGCGAGGCUGAUAAUAGAUCACCUCCAUGCCCUGUUCACGCUCCUACCCAGGUAAUAUCUCUGAUGCCUGCCUACACACUACCACUGUCUCUCCUUCUCUCUCUCUCCCUCUCUUUCUCUUUCUCUAUCUAUCUAUCUAUCUAUCUCUAUCUCUCUCUCUCUCUCUCUCUCUCUUUCAUCGUCUUACUACUAUCUGAUCUCAGAACAAUCUAAAGAUUCCUAUCCAUCAGAGACGUCGACCUGUUGUCAAAGGAGUGACAAGCGACGUGCGUCUUCUUCCGAAACUAUUACGUUCAUUGUCAUGACAUUCGGGGAAGAAGGAUAGAGAGGAAACACUUAAUUGCUUCAAACGACCUCUCGCGAACAUUACAGCUCAACGGAUUACUUUAGAGAGAGGAAGCGAAUGAGAGAGAAAGAGAGAGAGAGAGAGAGAGAUGACUGGAAGACGCGUAGGUACUACACGAUUGGUUGGUUCGCUUGUCACAAUUCAUGAGUACACACAGAGAGUCUGGAUAAUGUGUAUUGCAAUUACACGGGGACAAGGACCGAUCCUUCGGCGACAUGCAACAUCCUAGUCUCUCUUCCGGUCGAGACCCUUUCAAUCUGGCUGGUAGUACGUACCUAUUAUCUAUCGGUGCGGUAGCACUCUGUUUACAAAGUCUACCCUUAUGAGGAAGAGAGACCAAGUAGGUGAGCGACCUAAACGCGCACGGUGACGAUAGAAACGUUGCACAAAGUACAUACACAAGCUGCGACAUAGCCGAUCAUCGAUGGCGAUGGUACCUCGUUUAUGUUGUACGUUGUACUUCUGUCGAUGGCCGUCGAUACAAAAUUUAUUGGUAAUAGAGUGAAAAAAAUAAAAUUGCCGAAGGAAUAAAAAAAAAAAAAAA